rnacentral:rRNA from 1 species
ACUCCUACGGGAGGCAGCAGUGGGGAAUAUUGCACAAUGGGGGAAACCCUGAUGCAGCCAUGCCGCGUGUGUGAAGAAGGCCUUCGGGUUGUAAAGCACUUUCAGUAGGGAGGAAAGGUUGUAAGUUAAUACCUUGCAGCUGUGACGUUACCUACAGAAG